rnacentral:rRNA from 1 species
UACGGAGGGUGCUAGCGUUACCCGGAUUACUGGGUGUAAAGGGCGUGUAGGCGGUCUCUCAAGUCCGAUGCUAAAGACCGAGGCUCAACCUCGGGAGUGCGUUGGAUACUGUGAGGCUAGACGGUCGGAGAGGGCAGCGGAAUUCUCGGAGUAGCGGUGAAAUGCGCAGAUACCGAGAGGAACGCCAAUAGCGAAGGCAGCUGCCUGGACGAUUUGUGACGCUGAGGCGCGAAGCGUGGGGAGCAAUCCGG